rnacentral:lncRNA from 1 species
CCCACUCUCUGCCGGGAGUGUCCCUGGCGGCGCGAGACUGAAAAUAACUGGCCCAACCCACCAAGCUGCCAAGCGUGCUCUACUAGCCCAAUUAGGAGCCGCUGGCUCAACCAUUUCCCCCCAAAUCAAACCCUAGUUCCCAAUCCUCCUCCCCAACCAACACCGUCGUCGCCGCCGCCGACCACCUCCUCCCUGGACCGCGCCCUCCAUCGCCGACUACAUCCACCCACGACCGUGCUCUCCACCUCCCAUCCCUCCGCCGACCCAACCGCCCCUUCUCCAGUGAAGAAAUGCUUGAUCUCGGCUAGCGGCUGGUAGUGGCAAGUGCCUUCAUGACGGACUUGGUAGCUCCCGGAUGCUCCUUCUCCAAAGCCUUGGGCAGCGCACCGCCGGCACAUCUCGCCACCGUUCUCGCGCCUGGUCGUUGUCCUCAUCCCAGGUCGCUGCAGGUUGCUACCGUUCUCGUCCUCGACCAGGUCGCCGCCUUCCUUACCUAGGUCGUCGGCCUUGCUCUUCCUUAUCCAGGAGCUCGAGGCUCGCCUCAGAUCGACCGGCUUCCAGCUCCAGCCUCCCCUAGGUAUCCUCCACCGCCUGCUGCUACUUCUCUCCUCCGACGGCUGCAGCAAGCCAUUCCUGCUGGUGCUCGCCUCAGCCACUGACCAUGAGGCAGAAGAAGUCCGUCACAAGGUAAGGCUCUCAUGACGCAUUCUUUUUUGUGGCAGCACGAUAUAUGUAUGGAUUGUUUGAUGCAGAAUUGAUGUAUAUCCAUGAGCUCGAGGUCGUCUCUCAUGCAAUUUGUUUGAUUUGAUUUUGAUGUAUGAGUGCAUGACAAAUCGACACUAUGAAUUGAGCUGAUGUAAUGUACUGGUUGUUAAGUGCUAACUUGCUAAUUUGCUAUAUAUGGCUCUUAUGUGCUAGUUGUUCUUAUGUGUUGCAGUAUUUGUGUAAGGAACUGCACCAUGUCCUAUAUAUUAGUUGUUAACUUGUUAUAUCUCAUAUGUCAGUCAUUAAGUAUAUAUGAUAUUGAUGCCUGAUUAUCUACUUAUCUAUUCAUUUUUCUAUCAUGAUUUAAGUUAAAAUGCUAAAUGGGCUUAGCUUCGCUAGGGUCGCUGUAGCUUUUCAUAGCAUUUGGCUGAGCCACCACUAAAUGGCACAGCCCGCUGUUCAGAACUUCAGUUAUUUGAGAGGAAAGUAAACUUUGACUUAGUUAUAUCAGUUAUGUUUUGUUUCAGAAAAUCUUGCUUUUAUGGAUUGAUGCUGGGACUUGGGGAGCUGCUCUUUGCAUAAUUUUGGUCCUAAUACAUAUACUUUUUUCCUUUAACUGGUGUCUGCUUCAUAUUUUUGACUUCUUUUAGUAGUUCUUUCCUAUGGUUGCAGGUGUAUGAGACUUCGGAGCUUCUAUAUGCAACAGCAAGAAGUGAGGAGGAACAAAUGAACCAUAAAAAGCUUAAAUUUGAACUCUGUUGGUAAUCUGCUGUUGUAUGGAUCUGCUUUAUUUAUUUUUACCCUUAAUAUGUUAUUAUAAUAUGAAACAUGGUUCCAACUUAUUCUAUUUUAUUAGGCGACUCUAGCUUAACUAGAACGAGUUCAGCAAGUUUUGACUUUUGAGUUCACGACGCUGCAACUGUGAAGAUAAUGACUAAAACUGCAAACUAAAUUAGUGAAACCCUAUAGGAGUACCACGUGCAAGCUUUGGGCAAAAAGGUUUUUGUUCUAUGUUGGUUAUCUCCAUUGAUCGAUUGAUGUGAGAUCAUUUAGUCCACUUUUCAUCACGCAAUACUUGUACGUACUCAGAAAGGUGUACACUUUGCUUCCAUGUAUGCAGUUGGAAGUGGAUAAGUCAAUGGCAAAAGCAGCAACGUGGCCACAAGGAAGCUGAGGAGGUAAUAUACGUGGAUAUGUCUUGGCUUAAUAUUUACAUUGGUUGCUCAAAGUAAAAGUAUUUACAUUGGUUGCUCAAAAAUAUUUACUCUGGACCGAAUAUUCACUUGUGAUUGCUCAAAUAUUUACUCUAGACUCAAUGUAUUGGCCGCUGUUUGUUUCGGGAGCAACUAGUAUACAAUCCAUGCUAUCUAAAAUUGCACUGGCUUUGCCCCCAGUUAUAGCUUCUUGCAAAUGGUUCAGUUUUCUAGUUCUUGCCUCCAGAAAAGUUCAAAAUAAUCAAAGAGCAGUUGGUGGAUCAUGUUCAGUUUUUAUGUUGUUAUACACUGCCUGAACUGUUAAGGGCCUUGAUUGAUUCCUAUGAGAAUGACAAACUGUCCAGAAGCAGGAGUAGUCUUUUUCUUUGAUUAUAAUAAUCAACAAUUGGUAAGUUUGUCUAGCUUAAUUGUUUGUGAAUUGCACAUCAAGUAAGGUAGAUAUAUGGUGGAAAGUUGAAGGCACAUGUAAACAUAUUUUGUUGUAUCAGUGGCUAACAGUGUAGGCUCACAUGAUUUAGUUUAAAAUACUCUGGUAAAUAAUGCAUGUGCGAAGCGUCUCAUGGUUUUGCAAAUACUGUAUAAUAUUAUGGUGUUCACAAACUGUGGUAUUGUACAGCUAGAGGUUAAAAACUGUAGUUUUUGAAUACUACAGUUUUACAUAUACUUUGCACCCAAACAGAGCCUGAGCUGUUUGAAGCCCUUGACCUCCUUUUUAAAAACUGAGCAGGACUACGUUUGGUUCAUGUCUGGAUCAAAGUCCUGGCUGAAAAAUGCUUGGCCUGGAGCCUCCUUGCAAAGUGCCUGGACUGUGUUUGCUUGAUGUCCUAGAGAAAUGUAUAUUGACUUGUACUAUUUGCAUUGUUAUUGUGCUAUCGUGUGCUUCCAUUUUUAUUGUGAUGUAAAGAUUGCAUUUUUAUUGCAUGUUUAUGAUAUGGCAGGUUUAUUGUUCUAUGAUAGCUCCAUUUUGAGUUAUUGGUCUGUUGCAGGUUUUCCAAAGAUACACAAGUUAAUGGAGGUUUGUAAGAUCUACAAGCGGUUGUCAAUUUUGGAAGAUCUACAACGACUGAAGGUGUGGAAGACCUAUAAUUAAGUUGGUGUAGUGAUAAUGUAGUGCACCUAGUUUGUUGAACCUGGAGUACUUUUUGUGCCAGCACAACGUCCUUAUGUAUGGCCCUUUUCUGUAUGUAUGUAUGUAUCCAGAAACAUAUGUAUCUGACAUGUUAUGUUUAUAUGACAUGUUAUGUUUAUAUCGAAGGAAAGCUUUAAGGUUUUGGAUGAGGCCUAUAUGUAACUUCGAUUGAACUAUAUGUCUAAGUUGUGUGAUCUGUCCUGAUUUCCCUAAUGGCUUAAUUAGGUAU